UCCAUCUUGAACCCACCAAAAAAUUUAAAAAAAUAAAAAAAAAGGUUAAUCUCAUACAUGUCCAUACAAAUAUAGUAAAUAAUAAAUAUAUCUUUAUAAAAUUCAAUUUUUAUAUAUUGUUUUUAUAAAAAUUUUAAUAUUUUUAAAUAUAUAUCUCUCUGGUUUGUUACCGUUAGAGAACAGUUAAAGAAACUAACCAUGAUAAAUAUGUCCUUCCAAAAAUCAUAACAGUAUAAUAUAGAAACUAACCAGGGCAAAAUAUUUAAUUUAUAAUUAACUAAAUUUUUCUAAUGGAUUCUAACGACAGGGACCUAUUUAAAAACAUCAAGACUUUUACAAAAACAAUAUAUAAAAGUUGAACUUUGUAGAAAUAUAUAUUUGUCAUUUACUGUGUUUGCAGUGAUCUGUAUAAAAUUAACUCAAAAAAAAAAAAAAUCUUCAACUAAUCAAAUUAUUUUAUUAAAAUUUACUUUUCUCAUCACAAUAUCUAGAAAGAUACUUUUAAUACAUUUUUUUCCUUUUAAAUGACGAGAUGUAAUUUAUUGAAAAUAGAUAGUGUCCGGCUACUAUAGUCUUAUGAGUAUAGGUUUUUUGCUGUUAGAUCUAACUCUUUAAUUAUUUCCUUCCGUUAGAUCAUACUAUUCAAACCAACCACCCACUCAACCCUAAGAAAUCACUAUCACUCUAGCUAAUCAAAAAUCACUAUCAUCCUAACCGUACAUCUCUUCAUCCAACGGUCGAAAACUUAUAAAUACAAAGGGGCCUAUCCUCGUAAGAGUAUAGUAGCUCUAGCCAAAUAGAUGAUUUUGAUAUAGCUGUUACACUAUAUAAAUUUUCUUC
rnacentral:lncRNA from 1 species